rnacentral:rRNA from 1 species
UGCAGUCGAGCGCGAACGGGAACUUCGGUUCCCUAGUAGAGCGGCGAACGGGUGACUAACACGUGGGUAAUCUGCCUCCGGGUGGGGAAUAGCUCAGGGAAACUUGAGCUAAUUCCGCAUAACGUGGCCGAUCACAGGAUCGGCUACCAAAGCUGGGGACCCUUCGGGGCCUGGCGCCUGGAGAGGAGCCCGCGGCCAAUUAGCUUGUUGGUGAGGUAAUGGCUCACCAAGGCUCCGAUUGGUAGCCGGCCUGAGAGGGCGGACGGUCACACAGGAACUGAAACGCGGUCCAGACUCCUACGGGAGGCACCAGUGAGGAAUUUUCGUCAAUGGGGGAAACCCUGAACGAGCAACGCCGCGUGAAGGACGAAGACCUUCGGGUUGUAAACUCCUGUCGGACGGGACGAAAGUUAUCGAGGUUAAUACCCUUGGUAGUUGACGGUACCGUACGAGGAAGCCCCGGCUAACUUCGUGCCAGCAGCCGCGGUAAUACGAGGGGGGCAAGCGUUGUUCGGAAUUACUGGGCGUAAGGGGCGCGUAAGCGGUCUGACAAGUCUUCCGUGAAAGCCCACGGCUCAACCGUGGAACUGCGGGGGAAACUGCCAGACUUGAGUCCGGGAGGGGAGAGUGGAAUUCCCAGUGUAACGGUGAAAUGCGCAGAUAUUGGGAGGAACACCGGAGGCGAGGGCGUCUCUCUGGACCGGUACUGACGCUGAUGCGCGAAAGCCAGGGGAGCGAACGGGAUUAGAUACCCCGGUAGUCCUGGCCGUAGACGAUGAGCACUGGAUGUGGCG